rnacentral:rRNA from 1 species
AACGAACGCUGGCGGCAUGCCUAACACAUGCAAGUCGAACGAGACCUUCGGGUCUAGUGGCGCACGGGUGCGUAACGCGUGGGAACCUGCCUUUAGGUUCGGAAUAACUCAGAGAAAUUUGAGCUAAUACCGGAUGAUGUCUUCGGACCAAAGAUUUAUCGCCUUUAGAUGGGCCCGCGUAAGAUUAGCUAGUUGGUGGGGUAAAGGCCUACCAAGGCGACGAUCUUUAGCUGGUCUGAGAGGAUGAUCAGCCACACUGGGACUGAGACACGGCCCAGACUCCUACGGGAGGCAGCAGUGGGGAAUAUUGGACAAUGGGCGAAAGCCUGAUCCAGCAAUGCCGCGUGAGUGAUGAAGGCCUUAGGGUUGUAAAGCUCUUUUACCCGAGAUGAUAAUGACAGUAUCGGGAGAAUAAGCUCCGGCUAACUCCGUGCCAGCAGCCGCGGUAAAGUGACUACU